rnacentral:rRNA from 1 species
UGACCUCGGAUCAGUAGAGCCCACU